rnacentral:rRNA from 1 species
GAACGAACGCUGGCGGCAUGCCUAACACAUGCAAGUCGAACGAGACCUUCGGGUCUAGUGGCGCACGGGUGCGUAACGCGUGGGAAUCUGCCCCUUGGUUCGGAAUAACAGUUAGAAAUGACUGCUAAUACCGGAUGAUGACGAAAGUCCAAAGAUUUAUCGCCGAGGGAUGAGCCCGCGUAGGAUUAGCUAGUUGGUGAGGUAAAGGCUCACCAAGGCGACGAUCCUUAGCUGGUCUGAGAGGGUGAUCAGCCACACUGGGACUGAGACACGGCCCAGACUCCUACGGGAGGCAGCAGUGGGGAAUAUUGGACAAUGGGCGAAAGCCUGAUCCAGCAAUGCCGCGUGAGUGAUGAAGGCCUUAGGGUCGUAAAGCUCUUUUACCAGGGAUGAUAAUGACAGUACCUGGAGAAUGAGCUCCGGCUAACUCCGUG